rnacentral:rRNA from 1 species
UGAGCUCGAUGAGUAGGGCGGGACACGUGGUAUCCUGUCUGAAUAUGGGGGGACCAUCCUCCAAGGCUAAAUACUCCUGACUGACCGAUAGUGAACCAGUACCGUGAGGGAAAGGCGAAAAGAACCCCGGCGAGGGGAGUGAAAAAGAACCUGAAACCGUGUACGUACAAGCAGUGGGAGCACAGGUUUACCUGUGUGACUGCGUACCUUUUGUAUAAUGGGUCAGCGACUUAUAUUCUGUAGCAAGGUUAACCGAAUAGGGGAGCCGGAGGGAAACCGAGUCUUAAUUGGGCGUUAAGUUGCAGGGUAUAGACCCGAAACCCGGUGAUCUAGCCAUGGGCAGGUUGAAGGUUGGGUAACACUAACUGGAGGACCGAACCGACUAAUGUUGAAAAAUUAGCGGAUGACCUGUGGCUGGGGGUGAAAGGCCAAUCAAACCGGGAGAUAGCUGGUUCUCCCCGAAAGCUAUUUAGGUAGCGCCUCGUGAAUUCAUCUCCGGGGGUAGAGCACUGUUUCGGCUAGGGGGCCAUCCCGGCUUACCAACCCGAUGCAAACUGCGAAUACCGGAGAAUGUUAUCACGGGAGACACACGGCGGGUGCUAACGUCCGUCGUGAAGAGGGAAACAACCCAGACCGCCAGCUAAGGUCCCAAAGUCAUGGUUAAGUGGGAAACGAUGUGGGAAGGCCCAGACAGCCAGGAUGUUGGCUUAGAAGCAGCCAUCAUUUAAAGAAAGCGUAAUAGCUCACUGGUCGAGUCGGCCUGCGCGGAAGAUGUAACGGGGCUAAACCAUGCACCGAAGCUGCGGCAGCGACGCUUAUGCGUUGUUGGGUAGGGGAGCGUUCUGUAAGCCUGUGAAGGUGUGUCGUGAGGCAUGCUGGAGGUAUCAGAAGUGCGAAUGCUGACAUAAGUAACGAUAAAGCGGGUGAAAAGCCCGCUCGCCGGAAGACCAAGGGUUCCUGUCCAACGUUAAUCGGGGCAGGGUGAGUCGACCCCUAAGGCGAGGCCGAAAGGCGUAGUCGAUGGGAAACGGGUUAAUAUUCCCGUACUUGGUGUUACUGCGAAGGGGGGACGGAGAAGGCUAUGUUGGCCGGGCGACGGUUGUCCCGGUUUAAGCGUGUAGGUGUGUGUUCCAGGUAAAUCCGGUUCACUUUAACACUGAGGCGUGAUGACGAGGCACUACGGUGCUGAAGCAACAAAUGCCCUGCUUCCAGGAAAAGCCUCUAAGCAUCAGGUAACAUCAAAUCGUACCCCAAACCGACACAGGUGGUCAGGUAGAGAAUACCAAGGCGCUUGAGAGAACUCGGGUGAAGGAACUAGGCAAAAUGGUGCCGUAACUUCGGGAGAAGGCACGCUGACACGUAGGUGAAGUGAUUUACUCAUGGAGCUGAAGUCAGUCGAAGAUACCAGCUGGCUGCAACUGUUUAUUAAAAACACAGCACUGUGCAAACACGAAAGUGGACGUAUACGGUGUGACGCCUGCCCGGUGCCGGAAGGUUAAUUGAUGGGGUCAGCGCAAGCGAAGCUCCUGAUCGAAGCCCCGGUAAACGGCGGCCGUAACUAUAACGGUCCUAAGGUAGCGAAAUUCCUUGUCGGGUAAGUUCCGACCUGCACGAAUGGCGUAAUGAUGGCCAGGCUGUCUCCACCCGAGACUCAGUGAAAUUGAACUCGCUGUGAAGAUGCAGUGUACCCGCGGCAAGACGGAAAGACCCCGUGAACCUUUACUAUAGCUUGACACUGAACAUUGAGCCUUGAUGUGUAG